rnacentral:rRNA from 1 species
GAUGAACGCUGGCGGCGUGCCUAAUACAUGCAAGUCGAGCGAACAGACGAGGAGCUUGCUCCUCUGACGUUAGCGGCGGACGGGUGAGUAACACGUGGAUAACCUACCUAUAAGACUGGGAUAACUUCGGGAAACCGGAGCUAAUACCGGAUAAUAUAUUGAACCGCAUGGUUCAAUAGUGAAAGACGGUUUUGCUGUCACUUAUAGAUGGAUCCGCGCCGCAUUAGCUAGUUGGUAAGGUAACGGCUUACCAAGGCAACGAUGCGUAGCCGACCUGAGAGGGUGAUCGGCCACACUGGAACUGAGACACGGUCCAGACUCCUACGGGAGGCAGCAGUAGGGAAUCUUCCGCAAUGGGCGAACGCCUGACGGAGCAACGCCGCGUGAGUGAUGAAGGUCUUCGGAUCGUAAAACUCUGUUAUUAGGGAAGAACAAAUGUGUAAGUAACUAUGCACGUCUUGACGGCACCUAAUCAGAAAGCCACGGCUAACUACGUG